GUGCCAGCAGCCGCGGUAAUACGUAGGUGGCAAGCGUUGUCCGGAUUUAUUGGGCGUAAAGCGAGCGCAGGCGGUUUCUUAAGUCUGAUGUGAAAGCCUUCGGCUCAACCGAAGAAGUGCAUCGGAAACUGGGAAACUUGAGUGCAGAAGAGGACAGUGGAACUCCAUGUGUAGCGGUGAAAUGCGUAGAUAUAUGGAAGAACACCAGUGGCGAAGGCGGCUGUCUGGUCUGUAACUGACGCUGAGGCUCGAAAGCAUGGGUAGCAAACAGGAUUAGAUACCCUGGUAGUCCAUGCCGUAAACGAUGAGUGCUAGGUGUUGGAGGGUUUCCGCCCUUCAGUGCCGCAGCUAACGCAUUAAGCACUCCGCCUGGGGAGUACGACCGCAAGGUUGAAACUCAAAGGAAUUGACGGGGGCCCGCACAAGCGGUGGAGCAUGUGGUUUAAUUCGAAGCAACGCGAAGAACCUUACCAGGUCUUGACAUCCUUUGACCACUCUAGAGAUAGAGCUUUCCCUUCGGGGACAGAGUGACAGGUGGUGCAUGGUUGUCGUCAGCUCGUGUCGUGAGAUGUUGGGUUAAGUCCCGCAACGAGCGCAACCCUUAUUACUAGUUGCCAGCAUUUAGUUGGGCACUCUAGUGAGACUGCCGGUGACAAACCGGAGGAAGGUGGGGACGACGUCAAAUCAUCAUGCCCCUUAUGACCUGGGCUACACACGUGCUACAAUGGAUGGUACAACGAGUUGCGAGACCGCGAGGUUUAGCUAAUCUCUUAAAACCAUUCUCAGUUCGGAUUGUAGGCUGCAACUCGCCUACAUGAAGCCGGAAUCGCUAGUAAUCGCGGAUCAGCAUGCCGCGGUGAAUACGUUCCCGGGCCUUGUACACACCGCCCGU
rnacentral:rRNA from 1 species